UACAGAGGGGGCAAGCGUUGUCCGGAUUUACUGGGCGUACAGCGCGCGCAGGCGGUUGCGUAUGUGAGCGGUGACAUCCGCGGGCUCAACCCGCGGCGGCCCGCUUACACAGCGCGACUGGAGGCAGGGAGAGGGAUGUGGAAUACCCGGUGGAGCGGUGAAAUGCGUAGAGAUCGGGUGGAACACCAGCGGCGAAGGCGGCAUCCUGGCCCUGUACUGACCGCUGAGGUGCGAAAGCGUGGGGAGCAAACAGG
rnacentral:rRNA from 1 species